CUGGCAAGGGAGUGCAGCUAAGUCCCCUGCUAUUUCUGCAAGGGGAUGAUAUGGAAAGUUGGAUGGGGCGGGGGAAUAAGCAGUGCAUUUUUAAAACGCGCUAUUAAAACAUACCAGCAUGGAUCCCACAUAUCCACUUACAUCUCACCGUGCAAAGAGGUUUGCUGCAGCCGGAAGUUGUACCCGUCAGCACCUGCUGAGGGCUUCGUUGACCAAACUGACAGAUGGCUUUUGGAGAAUUUGGCAGUCUUGUUCUUAUUGGAUUAUGGGGCACCACUUUCAGAUAAAAACAUGGACCUGAUUGGCAUCAUCCAGUAUCCAUGGAAACCCUGAAACCUUCUCUCUGUCUGCGCCCUGCUGCAUCUGUUGGGCUAGGAAGGAAUGUUUCACCAGUCUGCCACAAGGACAGUAUUCAUGGUUGUCUGGGGUAGGACAUUCUUAGUGGCAGUCUUUCACCUCUGGAGAUCAGUCUUGCUGGAAAUACAUCCAUGCCUGAACCUAGCCAUAUUUAGGACAGGAGGCAAGAACAUCACUUCAUUCAGGCUACUAGCUAAUAGCAGGUUCUGGAAUGCUCUGAUACUGAAUCCCUUGACAUUAAGUCUAUUGGAUGCUAUCAACUCUCUCUGGUCCUCUAAAGGAAGUUGAGCCAGCGGCUGCACAUAGUCAUGGAGCAUAUGUUCUCCCCACUCAUGCAAAGUUGUUUGGUACUUUCUUAAUCUAUGUAAAGUGAGCUUCAACACAAAAGGGUUAGCUGCAUUAUAAAUGCCUGAAAUAUUAAUAAUAAUGUGUGUGCUUUUUUAUGAGUUAAUAGAUGUGUGGGUAAUAGGUAUUAUAAGGAUUAUUGUAGAACACUACGCUAUACUUAACCAUCUGACUGUGAUCUCUGAAAGAGAGAUUGCAUACAUACGGUAUUUAACUCAUUUUUUGUUCUAGAACUAGCAGAUAGUAGCAAACACUUAUUUAUGGUUUUGGAUGUGUUUUGCUGUUUAGGAUAAGCAUUCUGUAAAAUGUGAUUGUUUUGCUUUGCUGUGAUUAUUGUUUUUGUUUUGAUCCUGAUGAGCUGGACCAAAGCUUCACUUUGAGGUUAGUUAAAACCUGCCCCAAAACUUGGUGGAACUCAGUAAAAUUUCUUGUGUGCCCUGGAAGACUCUAUGAACUGCUAGGGAACUGGUAGGAUUACUAUAUCACAUAUACCAAAGAAAUAAAAUCUGAUUCAGAUGGGACGGGAUUUGUGUU
rnacentral:lncRNA from 1 species